rnacentral:rRNA from 1 species
GAUGAACGCUGGCGGCGUGCCUAAUACAUGCAAGUCGAGCGAAUGGAUUGAGAGCUUGCUCUUAUGAAGUUAGCGGCGGACGGGUGAGUAACACGUGGGUAACCUGCCCAUAAGACUGGGAUAACUCCGGGAAACCGGGGCUAAUACCGGAUAACAUUUUGAACCGCAUGGUUCGAAAUUGAAAGGCGGCUUCGGCUGUCACUUAUGGAUGGACCCGCGUCGCAUUAGCUAGUUGGUGAGGUAACGGCUCACCAAGGCAACGAUGCGUAGCCGACCUGAGAGAGUGAUCGGUCACACUGGGACUGAGACACGGCCCAGACUCCUACGGGAGGCAGCAGUAGGGAAUCUUCCGCAAUGGACGAAAGUCUGACGGAGCAACGCCGCGUGAGUGAUGAAGGCUUUCGGGUCGCAAAACUCUGUUGUUAGGGAAGAACAAGUGCUAGUUGAAUAAGCUGGCACCUUGACGGUACCUAACCAGAAAGCCACGGCUAACUACGUGCCAGCCGCCGCCGUAA